AUGUGGAUGCUUCAUUCCCACUUAGAAGGAGAACAAAAUACUCACAGGAGGAAAUACAGGGACAAUGAGUGGAACAGGGGCAGAAGAAAAGGUCAUCCAGAGGCUGCCCCAUCUCGGGUUACAUCCUAUAUGCAGCCACCAAACUCAGUUACUCUUGCUGACGCCAAGAAGUACUUGCUUAGUGGAGCCAGAUAUGGAUGUCUCCUGAGAGGCUCUGGCAGAGCCCUACUGACACAGAUUAGGAUGAUUGCUGACAAUGCAUACACAGUAAGAUAGUCACGGAAAUGUUCACAUUCAUGGGGAAACACCUUUGAUGAAAUCGGAAUUGAGCUGUCUGUUAAGACACUGAGUAGGAGAUGGAAGGGAACCCACCACCCUCCUGUUUCCGCUGUCAACACUGCGCCAGGGCUGUCAGCACGUCUCCCAAGACGUUCUGUCUGCGUCUACUCCCUCCACUGUUUAUCAGUCCCGAUUCAGAGACUGACAGCCAAACUUCAGAUGGGGCUUGGGGAGUGUUUUGGAAGAAUUCAGAGAAAGAUAAAGGGACCGAAGAGGAUAGGGACUCCACAAGAAGACCGACAAAGUCAAGGGCAGUCAGUGGAACUUGGGGAGCACCUAGGAGAGCAUGUGGGACAAGAGACGCCAAAAAGGACGCCAAAAUAA
rnacentral:lncRNA from 1 species